UGUCAAAUCAUCAUGCCCUUUAUGGCUUGGGCUACACACGUACUACAAUGGCCGCUAACAGAGGGGACCGAAGGGGCGACCCGGAGGGAAUCGGUAAAAGCGGUCUCAGUUCGGAUUGGAGGCUGCAACCCGCCUCCAUGAAGUCGGAAUUGCUAGUAAUCGCGGAUCAGCACGCCGCGGUGAAUACGUUCCCGGGCCUU
rnacentral:rRNA from 1 species